rfam:Hanseniaspora osmophila strain AWRI3579 Hanseniaspora_osmophila_AWRI3579_scaffold6, whole genome shotgun sequence.
GAAGCGGUGGCUCAAUGGUAGAGCUUUAGAUUCCAGAGUUCGAUUCUUUCCAGUCACAUGGGAAACAWAUUACAACCUCAAACACUCUAAGGGUUGCAGGUUCAAUUCCUGUCCGUUUCA